rnacentral:rRNA from 1 species
GUUGUUUCCCGAAGGAUACCUCUAAGGGGACUGCCCCGGGACAACGGGGAGGAAGGUGGGGGAUGACGUCAAGUCCGCAUGCUCCUUACGUCUAGGGCUACACACGUCCUACAAUGGGGUCGACAGUGGGAUGCAAAGCCGCGAGGUGGAGCCAAUCCCCAAACGGCCUCUCAGUUCGGAUAGUAGUCUGCAACUCGACUACUUGAAGUCGGAAUCGCUAGUAAUGGCGGAUCAGCAUGCCGCCGUGAAUACGUUCCCGGGUCUU